CCGUGGGAGCCUCCUGGCCCCUACCGAGAUAGCACCCUCUGUCUUCUUGAGCACCUUCUGUUUCCUCGGCGGGUCCGCCCGCCAAUGGGGACCAAACAAAACCUCCCUGCAGUAUCAGUAGUAAACGUACAAAACAAAGCAAUCA
rnacentral:misc_RNA from 1 species